UUGAGGUGGGAAUGCCCUGCCAACCAAACUGGCCGGAGUUCCUCUCCCUUCCCAGAUAAGGGAAGGAGGGGGUGGGUGGAGGCGGCGAACGGCUGUGCAUUCGGAUUGGACUGAGAGGGAUUCCAGUGGAGCUGACUUGCCUAGACGAGGGAGGUGCGCAGCGGCCUCCGAAGGAAGAGGCCUGAACCUGAGUUCUGAGGAGGGCACAGGAGGGCCGGCCAGGGACAGGCGGAGAGGAGCAGCUGGGAAGGAGAAGAGGAUUUUCCCCCUUCCUAGGGGAAGAAAGUCACAGAGGGGAUGCUCAGGUGUGGACUCCCUCUUCUUCUGGCUCACAGACAAGAGACCAGGUGAAGGAAGGAGCUGAGCUGAAAUGGAAAUAAUCUACGGCGUUGACUGUCUAGACAGCGCUCGAUGCUCUGGAUGGGGAGGAAAGCAGACAGAAGCAGGCUUUGGCCAAAGCUGAAACCCAAGCCAUCAUCACCCGUCCUCCGAGCCAUCCUCAGACUUGGCUGUCUGGGCCGGCGCCAGAUUUGGCCUGGGGCUGUUUCUUGCUCCAGUUUCAAAGGAUUCAGGCUUCCAUGGAGGGAAAAGCUUGAAUUUUUCACAGUGAGAAAUUUAAUGAAAGACUAGCUCAGUCAUAGAAGCAAAGAAGCAAGCAAAAGAGAGAGAGCAUGCAGUAUUCAAGGCCUCCUGAGCCCCAGUCAGGAACUUGUACACCAUUGCUUCUCCUGCAUUCUAUCGUUCCAAGGAAGUCACAAGUCUCAAGUCUUGACUGGUGUCCUGGCCAAUAUAGAGCAAAUGACAGACAUGUCAACUGCAUGAGUGUAGACUCAUCCACAGUUUGAAGAUGGAGCCAUCACUUGUUCCAGGGCUGUUACUGUGCACUGCAGGAAUAAAGUUGAGCUCACAAGGUGUGUGGUCAAAUGAAGGGACUGAGACAUGAGCCAGUGGCAGGUCAGAAGUUAGAAUCCCGUCCACCUCCACCUCUGCCUCUGGCAGUGGCAGCUGCCCCCUGCGGCCUUUACAACCCCUUGUUGGCAUGUAUAUCUUUAAACUCCAGUCCAACAGCCCUUUACAGUGUGUUUCCUCCAGAGACCCUGACUGACACCCAGUAAUGAUCAGUUUAUUAAAAGAAACUCUAGGAUUUCUGAUGGGGCUGCCACCUUCUUUCUAUUGGAUGGUGCUGUGUAGGCACUGGUGUAGCAUGGUGAGAGGAACAGACACAGGAAAGGCAGUUCUCAGCUCCCUGCUGUCCUGGCAGCCCAGCUGGCCAUUUGGAGGGUAGCAGGAGCUCAGAAGCCAGGAUGUGCCUCUGCUCAGUGGGAUUCUGCGGAUGAACUUUUCCCUGCCCCCCACCUCCCAAACAGCACCUGCUGCUGGAGGACCUGGAUGCUGGUGCCCAGCUGCCUGCCUUUGCAUUCCUCGUCUCCCACUUUCUUACUCUACAGGUAACUCAACUUCCCUCUGCUUUGUUUCACCUGUGAAAUGGGGAUAAUAACAGUAGCUGCCUCGCUGGGUGGUCUUGAGGAUUAAAUGCCUAACACAAGCAAUAUACUUAGAACUGUGCCGGGCCCACUGAAGUGCUCCAGAGCAUGGCAGCUGUCCCGGUUUUACAGAAGAAAGCAAGGCCUGCUUAGGUAACAUACAUGGCCAAGGUCGGCAGUAGGACACACAGGGCCAGAAUCCCAAUCUUCCCAACUUGCCCAACCUUUCUCACCUGGACAUUGGCUAAGUGCAUGUGUUCCGUCCUAAUUAUUCUUAAAAUUAUCAAUGAAGACAUGCUCCAGGGAGAAAAGUCAGCAAAGAUGCUACAGAGCAAUGCUGUCCCUGAGUGACCAAGAAUAGAGCUCCCCUCUUGGCCUUGUUAGAAGCAGGCUGGGGGCAGACAGAGGGCCUUGUGGCCAGCCACUAAUCAAUCCCCAUGGCUGUCCUAUUUCAUCUGAGGGUCUCUAGCUAUGAGAAAGACUCUGAAGUGCUGGGGGUGGGGGGCAGCCCUGGGAUCCAGUCCAGGCUGGUAUGACCUUGGGAAUGUCACUUCCCUUCCAUGGGCCUCAGUUUCCCCAUCUGUAAAAUGACAGGAGCUGGGGCUGGACCAGCUCACCUUCAAGAGCUCUUCCAGGCUCAAUGUGAGGUUUGGUUAUUAACGUCACUUAAAUAUUUUACAGUUUGUAACCAUCUUACUUGAUCCUCUGACCCAGCACCUCUCAAACUAUUUUUCUGUUGGCCCUCCUGUGACAGGGUAGUCAGACAUGUGACAUUUCCAUGGGCUACUUUCAUAUUCUAUCCCUCCCUCCUCUAUUAGCAUGCAAAUGAGGAAAGAUGACAUUGUUGCAGGUUGGCCCCGGAUAUACUCUAAGUAGAAUGAUUUUUAACUCAAAUCACUGGAAAUAUCAGUGCUUUUUCAUCAGCAAAUAAUUACAUUGCCAGGCUUCUCCCAACUGAUUCUGACCCACAAGUUUGUCUAGACACUGUAGAUCAAAGCCAUAGCUGUAACAAGCCCAAGAGGAGACAGCACUGGCUUCAGUUCCUGUAAAGAGCUAAAGCAAAUGAUAUUUUAAUAACUAAUAUCAACAUUUCUCCUAUGAUGGGAAAUGUAUUUUAAUAUGGUCUGAACUGGGGGAAGUAAGAUGCUGAGGACUUUGGAAGGCAGGGCUUCCCAGAGGAGAGCUUGAUUGCCCUACACAGACUGCCUGGGAGAGGAGAGGAGGGGAGGGCAGAGGCCUGCAGAGAAGUGAGGAAAGGAGCCAGCAAGGGUGUGGAAGGCUCUGCUAUGUCAGAUGGCUCUUUGACCUGUGCUUCUCGUGGUUUCAGAUACUCUCCUAAACUCCCCAGUGGAGUGUGUGUGUGUGUGUGUGUGUGAGAGAGAGAGAGAUGAAUCCAGCAAAUGAGGCUGUUGGACAACACAUAUUCUUAGGGCAGAAGCCAAAAAGAAGGGCAGAUGAUGAGACUUCAAACCCCUGAAAAUUUGUAGAAAUCUUAGAAGGCUCUAAAGUGCUCCAGUCCAUGGCACUGGGGGCUUCAGGCAACCCCAGCUACACCUGCAGUGCUGUCAAGGCCCCUUUCGGCACGGGGCUUUUCAUCCAUUUUGCAGAUGAACAGCUAAGAGGGCUUCCCCAAACUGAGCAAAGCUGCCUCCUUCCUUCUACUGGAUCCUGGUUGGAUAUUUGUUCCCUAUGGACCCCUGAUCCUAAGUCCCUCCAUCUUCUCUUUCAAGUCCAUACUUACUCACCAAUUGAGUAAAUCCCUGGACAAUUCUAGCUUUGGCCCUUUCACAACAUUAAUUUAUUUGGGUUUUUAUUUUGAAAUAAUUUUAGAUUUACAAGAGUUAUAAAAAUAGUAAGAGAGUUUCCACAGGCAAUGUGCCCAGUUCACUUUAAUGUUAACAUCUUCCAUAACAUUUAUCUCAACUAAGAACAUUAAUUGGACACCAGUGAACUACUCAUAGUGCACUGACUUUAUUUGAAUUUCAUCAGCUUUUUCGCGAAUGUCCUCUUUCUGUUCUAGGCUCCCUUCCAGGAUACCACAUUGCAUUUAGUCAUGAUAGCUCCUUGGUCUCCAAGCUGUGAAUGCUCCCCAGUCUUUUCUUAUUUUUUAUAAUGUUGAAUACCAUACAUUUUGGCUCUCCAUUUAUGCAUUUAUUGACUCAUACAAUUGACCCAUCAACUCAUGUGGUUUCAGGCCCAGUGCCAGGUACUGGGAACUCAGAAAUGAACCAGCUGAGGUCCCUGACCUCAAGUUGCUCAAAGACAAGAAGACUAGCAAGAGGCAGACCAUGAAAUCGGAGUGAGAAACACCAUGGCAGGGGAAGGCACAGGCAGCAAGAGCUGAGCCCUUGUGUGUGAAUGGAAGGGCUGGAGUCUGGAGCUGAAGCACAGAGCACCAGAGGGACAGGUCACCUUCCAGGGGCAUUUGCAAUUGUGUAAGGAUCUCGGUCAAUGAAGUAUCACCACAGAGUAGACAAGCACCACUGUCCCAUGUUCAGGUCCACUCUUCAACAGUGAUGCAUAUGCUAUGUCUAUGGUGGGCAGGACUUGUAAGUUGAAUUUUGCACCCUUCACACCCAAAGGAAGAAUGAAGCCCUCAUCCCCAGUACCUGUAAAUGUGAUGUUAUUUGGAAAUAGGGUGUUUGCAAAUGUAAUCCACUUGAGGUGAGGUCAUACUGGAUUAGAAUAUACCAUAAUCCAAUGACCAAUGUACUUAUAAAAUGAAAGAAAUCUGGACACAGACACAUAGGGAGAACACCAGGUGACAAGGGAGGCAGAAACCAAAGUGAUGUGUCUACAAGCCAAGGAACACCAAGGAUUGCUGGCAACCAGCAGAAGCUAGAAAGAGCAAGGAAAGGUCUUUCCCUAGAGCGUUCAGAGAGAGCCUGGCCCAGCUAAAAUCUUGAUUUUGGACUUGUAGCCCUCAGAAUUGUGAGACAAUAAUUUCUGUUGUUCUAAGCCACCCGGUUUGAGUAAUUCGUUACAGCAGCCUAGGAAAGGAACACAGCGGUUUCUGUGAUGUCUCCCAGUGAUCCCCGGCUCUUGGUAUUCGUGCCCUGGUAAAAUCCCCUCAUGCUGAUCGUGAGCUAAACUCAGUGACUCACUGCUAGCAAAUGGAAUAAAGCAGAAGGGAUAGAUAACACUUCUGAGAUCAGACUAUUAAAGACUGUGGCUUCAGGCAUGCAUACACAUUCUCUCUUUGUCUCUCUCUGACUCUUCUUGUUUGCUUCCUCCAAUGAAUCAAGUUGCCAUGUUGUGAACUGUCAUAUGGAGAGUCCCUGGGUUAAGGAACCAGGGUGGCUUCUGGUCAACAGCCAGCAAGUUGCCUAGGUCCUCAGUCCAAUGCCUACGAGGAAUGGAAUCCUGCCAACAGCCACAUCGACGAGCUUGGAAACAAAUCCUUUUCUAGUCGAGCUUUGAAUGCUGCCUGGUGAGAGACCUUGAGCCAGAGAAUCCUACUAAGCUGAGCCCAGAUUCCUGACCCAUGGGAACUGUGAGAUAAUAAAUGUCCUAAGCCACUAAGUUUUGGGGUAAUUUGUUACUCAUCACUAGAUAAUAGGUAACAAUCUAAUAGGAGCACUGGUAAUCAGCUCCAAUGUGCAUUUUCUACCACCAAGCAAUUAACUCAGUUCUGACACUAGCUACCUGGAGAUAGCAUCAUAUUCAACAGGUGAAAGGCUCAGUCCUACAAGACUGUCCUCUCCCCAUUACUUAUGAUGCUUAUUGCAAGUCCAGGUUGUCACCUGUGCUUCCGACCAACUGACUAUAAAUCAGAGGUUCUCACAACCCCUUGGGUUUAACUAAUUUGCUAGAGAGUCUCAUGAAACUCAGGAAAACAGUUUGUUUACUAGUUUACCAGUUUAUUACAAAAGGCUAUAACUCAGGAACAGCUAGAUGGAAGAGACACAUAGGACAAGUAUGGGGAAAAGGCACAGAGCUUCCAUGCCUUCUCCAGGUGUGCCAGUCUCCCCAAAUGUCCCUGUGUUUCCCAACCCAGAAGCCCUCUGAGUCCUGUCUUUUUGGGUUUCUAUGGUGGCUUCAUUACACAGGCAUGAUAGAUUAAAUCAUUGGCCACUGGGGACUGAACUCAAUCUCCAGCCCUUCUCCCCUCCCAGGGCAUCUGGAGGUGGGACUGAAGUUCCAACCUCUAAUCACAUGGCUGAUUCCCCUGGCAACCAGCCCCCAUCCUUAGGUAAAGUCCAAAAGCCACUUCAUUAACAUAACAAAAGACCUUUAUUGCUUUCCUUUCAAGGGUUUUUGGAGCUCUGUGCCAGGAAUGGGAUGAAGACCAGAUAUAUAUUUCUUAUCAUAAAUCAUACUAUCCCAUCAGCAGUGGUAGAUUGCAGCCAGGUAGAAAUGCAGGCUCUUUGUUACCAAUCUGAAGGUUUUCCCUUCAGAGGUUUCAAGGGAGGUUGAAAAUCUACAUUUUUUUUUAACAUGCAAAAUGUCCAAUUAAAGCACUGUUUAAUUUUGUCACCCACUCCCCACUCCCUCAGAUAUUUGGCAGUGUCUGGAAACAUUUUUGAAUAUCAUAACCGGAGGGCACUACUGGCUUCUAGUGGCUACAAAAUGCUGCGAAACAUCCCACAUACUCAGUUGAGCACCAUGCCGCCCCACCAGCAAAGAAAUGUCUGGUCUAAAACGUCAAUAAUGCCAUUGUUGAAAAACCCUGAAUGACAGAAACACUGAUUGAACCAAACAAACAAGUCAGAUGACCAGAUUUGCUGGCAGCUUCCAAGUGCUGGUCUCACCUGGAAAUUCUUCACAUCAGCCCUUAGGAAGAAGGAUGUAUCAAUGAAGAUUCAGUUAGGGAAACAGAAACCAUGCGAGACAUUUCAAACAGAGAAGACUUAAUACAGGAGACUGAUUAAUUGAGUGUUGGAAGUAUGGAAGAGCAAAAAGGGAAUGUGGCCAGAACUUACUUGCAUGAUCAUACCGACACAAGAGUGGCCACAAAAGUUGAUCUAACUAUGGACCCAGGUGGCAAGGAAUAAUUACCCAGCUUUGUCAAAGACACCUACCUGUGCCAGGUGUUUUACAUACAUUACCCAUAAGGAGGAAGAGGCCUCAUUUAUACUUCCAAGUCCCUUCAUCCCAAAUUCUAAGCAUCUUCUGUCUUCUCCAGGCCAAGCAGAAGCAAAGAUACUAACUAUCCAUGGUGAGGAUCAUGUAGAAGAGAAGUCAGACAUGCCAAGAACCUGGCCCACAUUCAGAGCUGUCUCUCAGGUUUAAACAGAUUCGAGUGUAAUUAAAACCUAGAGAAUUGGUGGUGGCAGAGGCUGGGGGGACAGGUUCAAAGCCCAGAAUUGACACAGCAGUGAGUGAGAAGAGUCUAGAUUCUGCUUCAGCUCUACUGCCAAGGAUAUUUCCCUGCCUGGAACAGUCGUAAAUGCAAAUGGAGAAACUGAGGCCCAGAGAGGAAAAGGCACUUCCCCAAGAUGGUAUAAGGACGGAGCAACUUUAGUAAGAGCCCCAGCUGCCCAACCUUGUAUUGCAUCACACUGUGCCGGCCCCUGGGGUCAUGCCUGACACAUAGAAGUUUGGUGACAUUUCCUGAGUGAAUGAAAAGCUAUGUGAGUUUUUAUGGA